rnacentral:lncRNA from 1 species
GCACUGGGUUUGCCAUGUGUUUGCACUGUCUGGCUCUGGUAAUUGUCAAACUACAGUGAGAAAAGGAUCUUCAUCUUGUCAGCAUACUUGGGAUGUCACAAGGAAGUUCUGGAAGCUUUUCUGUAAAACCAAAGACCUCAUUACUGCUUUAUUGCCUGUUACAGCAAGGAGGGUGAAUUCCACCAGGGCUGCAGGAGGAGGGCACUGCUGAAAGCUGUCCUACAACAAGCACACGGCAAAGGGAUGCUGCUGGACCUCCCACAUGUUGUCACCUUUGCUGCCCAUGGGAUGAGCCUCUCUCACUGUCACUCUUGUACAGGAGAGCUUGUCAAGUGCCAGAAGCCAAAGCCUUGAAAGACAUCUCAGUGCUGCUCGCUUACGUAACGCCAAAUCUGCUCGCACAGCAAAAGAUGUUCACAGCUACAACAAAAGGAAAGAGGAGUAUGAAAAGAUUAGUUUGAUCAAAGGAGCAUCAUGUCACACCAGAAGAUUGAUUUUCCCUUUCCUCCUGGACUGCCUGGCCCCUUCUUUCUGUGCUGCCCGUAAGGCAGCUGCAGAGCUUGCUUCCUUGUCUCACCAUGCCUUGCAUGCACGUCUUUUGAUUAUGGCUCGUCUCCUUUUAAUAUCACACAAACAAGGCUGUGUCAUGUCCCCAGUGCUGUCUGUCUGACCUAUUUGUUCUGUGAUGGAGAGAAUAGAGAGCGCUUCAGUUAUCACGCUUUCCCUGCAGGUAGGAGUCUCGGGACAGGACAUUCAGCCACCUCUCCUCUGUCCUGCAUUGUUUAGGAAGAGCAGAUAAAGGAAAGAAAAGUCUGAAUAUUUAAAGGUGAAUCAGUGCAAUGCUGGCUGUCUUUUUUGUUUACACCAGCACCGGAUCUCCGUGUACAAUUAGCUCCCGCUGUGCUGCAGAGUGCGGGCUGCAGUUUUGAUGGACAGGGAGGCAUAAAGCAAUAAUAUUUUAACACUUGGUGUCAAAUCACCUUUUGUUUAAUGGAGAUAAGGAAACAAUCCAAUUUUAAUAAUGCCUAAGCAAAAUAAGGGCUGGGGAUGAGAGGCUGGUAAGCAGUGUUGCCUGCCAGGGGGAAAACAUGUUUUAAUCCUGUGGAUCACAAAAGGAAAUUGCUAAGGCUAUAUCCCAUACAAUUAAGCCAAUUUAAGCCUGGCUAUUAGGGGAAAAGGGCUACUUGUAAACUGUGGCAUUUGAGUGCGGAGUUGUGCAGCAGCUCUGCUCUCUCACACAGCCUCAGUCUGUGCAGGGCUGCCUUUCUGCACCCUCACACCCAGGGCUGCUGAGAGCAACUGGAAUUUCAGGGAAGU